rnacentral:rRNA from 1 species
GACGAACGCUGGCGGCGUGCUUUAACACAUGCAAGUCGAACGGAGUUUAGCAAGGAAGUUCUUCGGAGCGGAAUUGCGAAGACUUAGUGGCGGACGGGUGAGUAACACGUGAGUAACCUGCCCUUCAGAGGGGGAUAACAUACCGAAAGGUAUGCUAAUACCGCAUAACGUAUAUAGGUGGCAUCAUCUGUAUACCAAAGAUUUAUCGCUGAAGGAUGGACUCGCGGCCGAUUAGGUAGUUGGUGGGGUAAUGGCUCACCAAGCCGACGAUCGGUAGCCGGACUGAGAGGUUGGCCGGCCACAUUGGGACUGAGACACGGCCCAGACUCCUACGGGAGGCAGCAGUGGGGAAUAUUGCGCAAUGGGGGAAACCCUGACGCAGCGACGCCGCGUGAAGGAUGAAGGUUUUCGGAUCGUAAACUUAUGUCUUCAGGGACGAGAUAGGACGGUACCUGAGGAGGAAGCCACGGCUAACUACGUG